rnacentral:rRNA from 1 species
CCUACGGGAGGCAGCAGUGGGGAAUAUUGCACAAUGGGGGAAACCCUGAUGCAGCGACGCCGCGUGAGUGAAGAAGUAUUUCGGUAUGUAAAGCUCUGUCAGCAGGGAAGAAAAUGACGGUACCUGACCCAGAAGCCCCGGCUAACUACGUGCCAGCAGCCGCGGUAAUACGUCGGGGGCAAGCGUUAUCCGGAUUUCCUGGGUGUAAAGGGAGCGUAGACGGCAGGGCAAGUCUGUAGUGAAAGGCGGGGGCUCAACCGCCGGACUGAUCUGGAAACUGCCAGGCUGGAGUGCAGGAGAGGUAAGUGGAAGUCCUAGGGGAGCGGUGAAAUGCGGAGAUAUGAGGAGGAACACCAGGGGCGAAGGCGGCUUACUGGACUGUAACUGACGUUGAGGCUCGAAAGCGUGGGGAGCAAACAGGAGUAGAUACCCUAGUAGUC